AAUAGACUUAUUUCCGACGGCUGG
rnacentral:miRNA from 1 species